rnacentral:rRNA from 1 species
GACGAACGCUGGCGGCGUGCUUAACACAUGCAAGUCGAACGGAAAGGCCCUGCUUUUGUGGGGUGCUCGAGUGGCGAACGGGUGAGUAACACGUGAGUAACCUGCCCUUGACUUUGGGAUAACUUCAGGAAACUGGGGCUAAUACCGGAUAGGAGCUCCUGCUGCAUGGUGGGGGUUGGAAAGUUUCGGCGGUUGGGGAUGGACUCGCGGCUUAUCAGCUUGUUGGUGGGGUAGUGGCUUACCAAGGCUUUGACGGGUAGCCGGCCUGAGAGGGUGACCGGCAACAUUGGGACUGAGAUACGGCCCAGACUCCUACGGGAGGCAGCAGUGGGGAAUAUUGCACAAUGGGCGGAAGCCUGAUGCAGCAACGCCGCGUGCGGGAUGACGGCCUUCGGGUUGUGAACCGCUUUCGCCUGUGACGAAGCGUGAGUGACGGUAAUGGGUAAAGAAGCACCGGCUAACUACGUG